CUAGUUCCGACACGAUCACCGAAGUUGAGCAACGUCCAGCCUGAUCAGUACCUAGAUGGGUGACCGCUUGGGAAUACCAGGUGUUGUAAG